rnacentral:misc_RNA from 1 species
GAAAUGCGAUAAGUAAUGUGAAUUGCAGAAUUCGGUGAAUCAUCGAAUCUUUGAACGCACAUUGCGCCCUCUGGCAUUCCGGGGGGCAUGCCUGUCCGAGCGUCAUUACGCACCCUCAAGCCCGGCUUGUGUGAUGGGCCCCGGCGUCUCGUUCGCGAGACGGGCCCGAAAGGCAGCGGCGGCGUCGACCCGAUGAGCCCGAGCGUAUGGGGACUUCUGUCACACGUUCGCGGUGCGGACCGGCGCCUGCUUGACUUUUCUGAUUAUCCAGGUUGACCUCGGAUCAGGUAGGGAUACCCGCUGAACUUAAGC